CAUUAUCGUGGGGCUUCGGCCCUCUCGAGAUAGAACCCUUGCCUUUUUGAGUACCUUUCGUUUCCUCGGCGGGCUCGCCUGCCAAUGGGGACCCCAAUAAACCCUUUUGCAAUACCUGUAAUCGUCUGACAAAAUAAACAAAAAUUAAAACUUUCAACAACGGAUCUCUUGGUUCUGGCAUCGAUGAAGAACGCAGCGAAAUGCGAUAAGUAGUGUGAAUUGCAGAAUUCAGUGAAUCAUCGAAUCUUUGAACGCACAUUGCGCCCUAUGGUAUUCCGUAGGGCAUGCCUGUUCGAGCGUCAUUCAAACCUUCAAGCUCUGCUUGGUGUUGGGCGUCUGUCCUGCCUCACGGCGCGGACUCGCCUCAAAUCUAUUGGCGGCCGGCACGUUGGCUUCGAGCGCAGCAGAAACGCGAACUCGACCCCGACGGAUCGGCUCCCAGAAGCUACCCCCAUGAAUUUGACCUCGGAUCAGGUAGGGAUACCC
rnacentral:rRNA from 1 species